GCCAGGCAUGGUGGCGCAUGCCUGUAAUCCCAGCUACUUGGGAGGCUGAGGCAGGAGAAUUGCUUGAACCCAGGAGGCAGAGGUUGCAGUGAGCCAAGAUAGCGCCACUGCACUCCAGCCUGGGCGACACAGUGAGACCCCGUCUCAA
rnacentral:SRP_RNA from 1 species